UUUCAUUCUGUCAUCCUUUGUAUGGAUCCUUUAUAAUGUGAUGGUCGUGCUUUUUGAAGGUUACAAACUCUAUGCUAGUUGACUGUUGUUUGCACCGAUGCAAAAUUCAGAGUGCAGAGCUGACUGAAUAUGACAAUAAGUGGCUUUUCUUUUAAGUUACCUGAAGAUUUCAGUUCACAAAAAAGAAUAGAGGAUUUCCACUGUAUUGUGGAUAACAAUGUGAGAUCCAAACCAGAAGUAUGAAGUCCUUAAAUCAACCGUAUUGCUUUCGCGUUUUUGGGAUAAACAUGACAAGUAAUCAAUGGGUGGCUAGAAAGGUGAUUUGCUUAAGUCCUUUAAUGUUUGAGAGCUGAUCUAGAUAUCUAAUUGCCAUCUUUUCUUCAUCUACAACUCAAAUCCGAAUGUUUUGCUACAGCUGCCACACAACGGAACUAGAAAGUCACUCCUGCAAUAAUUGUGGUUUCAGCCAGAAAUGUGCACUAUUUUUGGCUUGGCUGAUGGCGGGGACAAAAAUUUGCGAAGCUCGGAGAAUACCAGAAUGAUGGUGAACACAUAUGCCCCAUGUAGACUUAUGAAAAAUAUUUGCAUGACAACUGCACGACAGAGGUCGGAUUCUGGAAAUCAUCUGUGUUUGCUGGACUCUUGGAAGAAUUGGUUGACCACAUAAAUGUGAUGCUUGAGCAUCAUUUGGCUCGUGAUCCUGGGGGAAAGAAAAUAGAUAAGAAUGCCUUUGAAGUACAUGACAUUGCAUGUCAUUAUACAUCAUCAGUCACAAGGAGCUUCACUGUAAUUUUGGCAAUGAUGUGAGAUCCUAACAAAAUAUUUGGGUCGAUGUAACAAGGACAUUCUUUAAGCUGAUUGCAUUGCAUUGUGCUUUAUGAAUGGGAGCCAUCCGUCAUAGUAAU